ACAAUAUAUAGGUAUUCUGGACGAACUUUCUUACACAACUUUGUGGCAGAAUUUAUGGAAAAUGAAUAUUAGAGGAGGAGAAUCCAGCACUGUCCCAUUACUGUCUGCCCUGCUGCUGUUUACCAAUGGCUGUCUUAGUAUUGCCUGUAAUGACACACAUUAUGGCACUAGCUGCAAUCAACUGUGUCCAUGUAUUACUACAAACACUGCAGACUGUGAUGAUACAUUUGGUACUUGUACUUGCCUCCCUAAUUGGACCGGAGAAA